rnacentral:rRNA from 1 species
AUUGAACGCUGGCGGCAUGCCUAACACAUGCAAGUCGAGCGGAUGAAUCGAGCUUUCUCCUGGAUUCAGCGUCGGACGGUUGUGUAAUGCCUAUGAAUCUGCCUGGUCUUGCUGUAUAACGUCCUGAUACGGGCGCUUCUACUCCAUACGUCCUGUUGUUGCCAUUGGUUGUUCUUCGGACCUCUCGCUUUCUUAUUAGCCUAGGUCGGUUUAGCUAGUUGGUGGGGUAAAGGCCUACCAAGGCUACGAUCCGUAACUGGUCUGAGUGGAGGGUCAGUCACACUGGAACGGAGACAGGGACCAGACAACUACGGGAGGAAGCAGUGGGGAAUAUUGGACAAUGGGGGAAAGGAUGAUACAGCAAAGGGGAGUGUGGGAAGAAGGUGUUAGGAUUGUAAAGAAAUUUAAGUUGGGAGGAAGGGAAGUAAGUUAAUACGUAGCGGUAUUGACGUUAACGAGAGAAUAAGCACCGGCUAACUACGUG